rnacentral:rRNA from 1 species
UACGGGAGGCAGCAGUGGGGAAUCUUGCGCAAUGGGCGAAAGCCUGACGCAGCGACGCCGCGUGUGGGAUGAAGGCCUUCGGGUCGUAAACCACUGUCGCGAGGGACGAAUAAAUUGACGGUACCUCGAAAGGAAGCACCGGCUAACUCUGUGCCAGCAGCCGCGGUAAUA